rnacentral:rRNA from 1 species
UUUUAUAUUUAAAGUCUAACCUGCCCAAUGAAGAUAAUUCAAUGGCCGCAGUAUUUUGACUGUGCAAAGGUAGCAUAAUCAUUAGUUUCUUAAUUAGGAACUUGUAUGAAAGGUUGGAUGAGAAAUUAUCUGUCUCUUAUUAAUUAAAAUUGAAUUUUAUAUUUAAGUUAAAAAGCUUAAAUUUUUAUUAAAGACGAGAAGACCCUAUAGAGUUUAAUAAAUAUAGAAUAAUUUUUUUAAAGUAUUUAUAUUUUUUAUUUAAUUAUUUAUUUUAUUGGGGUGAUAGAAAAAUUUAAUUAACUUUUUUUUAUUUUUAACAAUAAUAAAUGAUUUUUUGAUCCAUAUUUUAUGAUUAAAAGUUUAAAUUACCUUAGGGAUAACAGCGUAAUUUUUUUGGAGAGUUCUAAUCGAUAAAAAAGUUUGCGACCUCGAUGUUGGAUUAAAAUUUAGUAUUGGCGCAGUAGUUGAUAUAUUAAGUCUGUUCGACUUUUAAAAUUUUACUGAUCUGAGUUUAAACCGGUGUGAGCCAGGUUGGUUUCUAUCUUGAUUAAAUUAUGAUAUUUUAGUACGAAAGGACCAAAUAUUAAUAAUAAUUAUUUUUUAUUGAAUAAAAUUGUUAUUUUGGCAGAUUAGUGCAUUAAAUUUAGAAUUUAAUUAUGUAUUUUUAAUACAAGUAAUACUUGUUAUUUUUAGAUGGGUUAUUAAUAUUUAUUAGAGGUUUAAUUUUAGUUAUUUGUGUAUGGUAGG